GACGAACGCUGUCGGCGUGCUUAACACAUGCAAGUCUAACGGAAAUUCUCUGCUUUUGUGGGUUGCUCGAGUGGCGAACGGGUGAGUAACACGUGAGUAACCUUCCCUUGCCUUUGGGCUAACUUCAGGAAACUCGGGCUAAUACCGGAUAUGAGCUCCUGCUGCAUGGUGGGGUUUGGAAAGUUUCGGCGGUCGGGGAUGGUCUCGCGGCUUAUCAGCUUGUUGGUGGGGUAGUGGCUUACCAAGGCUUUGACGGGUAGCCGGCCUGAGAGGGUGACCGGCCACAUUGGGAAUGAGAUACGGCCCAGACUCAUACGGGAGGCAGGAGUGGGGAAUAUCGAACAAUGGGCGGAAGCCUGAUGCAGCAACGCCGCGUGAGGGAUGACGGCCUUCGGGUUGUAAACCGCUUUCGCCUGUGACGAAGCGUGAGUGACGGUAAUGGGCAAAGAAGCACCGGCUAACUACGU
rnacentral:rRNA from 1 species